rnacentral:tRNA from 1 species
UCCCUAGUAGCUCAGAUGGUAAAGCAUCUGCCUGCAAUGCAGAAGACUGGGUUCAAUCCCUGAUCAGGAA